UCUUUCAGCCGUAUAUAGCAGCAUAGGCCAGGGCGCGAAGUGGAAAACCUUACAAGCCGAUUUCCACUAAAAGGAUCCGCUCGAUCUCGCUUGAGGAAAAAUAUUUGCUCAGGCGCUUUAUAGUGCGGGUCUAUUAUUGAGUAGGUGGGCAUAAAGCUCGAGGAUUUGCUGGCACAGGUUGAAUAGGACGAAGAGAGCUGAGGGUUCUUCGAUGUAAAACAAUAAUUUGCGUCUCGCGUUAUUGCGAGUCAAUAUUGUGCUUCGGUUCUUGAGGAGUGCGUCUAGUCUGCGAAGGCAGUGGUCGGUUCGCCAGGAGCUUAUCUUGGUUGCUGGAGGCUUACGUUUAAUACAAAUUGAUAUAACGUGGCCGGGGCCUUUCGCUACUGUUCGGACCGACGCACAGACCCCAAACUGACAAAUAGAGGAGAACCUGCGAAAGCUUAUGAUCCAUUUAGUUCAAAUGCCUAUGAGCCAGUUUGUUACCACCCUACAGUACACCCGGUCUCGUUUGACCGACAGUUAAUUCACCCCAAAGACAAACGCGCUUUGUGCCAGGGAUGACGGUGAAGAGGAAAAGCUGAUGAUUCUCUCUAACACUACGCCCAGAUGCCCGAGCAUCGCAUCGCCGCUGAAACGGCCCUUCUACGAUUUCACCAUGUUCGGAAAGAUCCGGGUCAUUUGGCCAUCAAGUCGAGACUUCUGGCCGUCAUCGUGCAGAACAAGAAACUUACAUCAUUGUACAGACGCGCAAUGUAGAAAAAAAUGACAAAAUACUAAAAAAUAAAGAAGGUUACUGGGCGGGUGCUGGACGCGGGCAAUCGUCCCGUCCUUAACCGGGUGCUUACCGUCAACGGGUUGGACAAACAUUUUGAUAAAGUACUUAUAACGGGUGCUGACCGGGUGCUUGUUGAGCAAUUAUUUCAUUAAACUUUCUAGCCGAAUGCCAGCCGAGAGCUGAUUGGGCAUUAUUUUACUCGAAGCCUAUAGGCUUGGAAUUUUGAUAAAUCAGCAUUAAUUAAUAUUAAUUCAAUAUUCACGGGAUCAUCCCAGUGUAACGGGUCGAAAAAUAGCUGAUUUUCACGAUCUUUUCUUUCAUGUUUAAAAUACGCUAACCAGUCUGAUUUUUUUGUAUCUCUAAUUUUUUUCAGACCCCCACCAUUUUGUCAAUUUUAAUUAAAAA